UACGUAGGGUGCAAGCGUUGUCCGGAAUUAUUGGGCGUAAAGGGCUCGUAGGCGGCCAACUAAGUCAGACGUGAAAUCCCUCGGCUUAACCGGGGAACUGCAUCUGAUACUGGAUGGCUUGAGUUCGGGAGAGGGAUGCGGAAUUCCAGGUGUAGUGGUGAAAUGCGUAGAUAUCUGGAGGAACACCGGUGGCGAAGGCGGCAUCCUGGACCGACACUGACGCUGAGGAGCGAAAGCCAGGGGAGCAAACGGG
rnacentral:rRNA from 1 species